GUCAAGUGUGACAGCUAGGGUUGGCAAGAAAAAAGUUGCUUUCUUUCUCACUAUAUAGGAAAUCUUUCAAAUGGCAAGCAUUGCAACGGUGAAGAUUCUGUGUUGGGUGCUGGUUGGGAUGGUGGUAGUUGCACCCAAUUCUGAGGCGGCGAUCUCAUGUGGCUCGGUGGCUAACACCCUAGCUCCAUGCCUUAACUAUGUGUUGAGUGGUGGUGCGGUGCCUGCUGCUUGCUGCAAUGGGAUUUCUUCACUCUAUAACUCACUGAAGACCACCCCCGACCGCCAAACUGUCUGCUCCUGCUUGAAAUCCGUUGCUGGUUCCGCCUCUCCUACCAACUUUAAGAACGCUGCUGGCCUCCCAAGCAAAUGUGGCCUCAACAUUCCUUACAAGAUCACCCCCUCUAUUGACUGCUCCAAGUAAACACCUCUCCUCACCCCUUCUUCUCUUUGUUACUUAACGUAUGCUAUACAGUACUCAACAAUAUUAAGAAAAAAUAAAACAUAUGCCAUUCUCGUGUUGCAGGAUUCAGUAAAGCAGAUGAAGAUGGAUUUUCCUUCAGCAGCAUAUUAUAAUAGUGAAUCGUAUAAAUAAGAUCAGUUAUUGGAUCUACUGGCUGCUCUACCUGAAGGAAAAUC
rnacentral:lncRNA from 1 species